CAAAACGACUCUCGGCAACGGAUAUCUCGGCUCUCGCAUCGAUGAAGAACGUAGCGAAAUGCGAUACUUGGUGUGAAUUGCAGAAUCCCGUGAACCAUCGAGUCUUUGAACGCAAGUUGCGCCCGAAGCCAUCCGGCCGAGGGCACGCCUGCCUGGGCGUCAC
rnacentral:rRNA from 2 species